GUUUGGUUGCGCCGUGCCGCCGCCGCAGUGCAGCACCGGUAUUCACGAACGCUGCUACGCCAGGGGCUGCCGGCGCCGCCGCGCAGGGCAUCGGGGUCUGCGCAAAUGGCGCAGCUGCUUCAUGGCGGCUGCUCGGCCGCCGUGUCCCUGCACCGUUCGCUGCCGAGCUGCAGCUCUCCCAGAGCUCCAGAGCCAGGGGCCUGCCGUGGGAGCUGCAGGCACGUUCACAGAAGGUGAAGAGGAUGCUGUGUCGUGGUUUGUGUGUGAAGAAACAAUAGGAAUACACCACAGAACAUUUAUAUACAUUUAUCUGCUUGUAGCAAAGGGCUUUUGUUGGAUGUAAAAAGCCGCUCCUUAGUUUUCCAUGGGCAGAAGCACAGAAUGUCUUCUUAAAAUUUAAGAAAUUGCAUAAAGGAAGUGCUUUGGGAAGAGAGAUGGAAGAAGAGAACCAAAACCACUACCAGAAAAUGACCUAAAUCAGGACAAACAUUGGAAGACUGUCAGAUGUUUAAAAAAAAGAAGGCUGGAUCUGACUCUGAAAGUGGCUUCUAUUAACUAGGUGUGUUUUCUGAGAGGGAGAAUUCAGAGGACCACAUCUUGCCUCACAGGACAACAAACACAGAGAGUGGGAUGGAUAUUUCCUGCUUACAGUGAGAGAGUACAACACAUGCUUUACCUCAGUUUUAAGUAUGGUUACUUAGAAAAAGAGUAGGUAAAUUUGUAGAUAAAACUAUACAAAAUACUCUUGCACCAAAAUGUCUUUUUUUUGUUGUUACUGAGUUGCAGGAUUUAUGCAGGCCUUAUUGUUACUAAUUUUUGAAAGGAAUUUUAGACAUAGUGAAAGGAAAGUUUGUAGUUUUGGUGGUAAGAAAGGAAGAGGAUGAGAAUACCUAAAACUGUACAUACCAAACUGAUGUCCAACUGAAGGAGGAGUGGCAUUACUGCCUUGAUUGCAAUACUGUGAGAAUUUAUGGUACAUUUAGCUUGAUAACCUUUGCUAUUAGGCCAGAAUAAAACUUGUUUUGUGCUACAUAUAUGUAUUAUUUAUGUUUUAUUAUGAAGUUUAUUUGAUAAGACAGUUUCUUGGCUAUUUGCUGGUUAUAAUUUAGAUUAAAAGAUAGAAAAGAGUAGUCACACUUUAUACAGAAUAUAUAAAUACUUAACAGAGCAUCUAAUUUUCUCAUUCUCCACAUUGGACUAUCCAUGAGCAACCAGGAUUGCUGAAUCCUGGUUGGGAACAUGAAGUAUUUUGGUUCAUACAUUCAUAAAUGCCAUUUCCUUUCAAUUCAGCUUACAAAUUAGUUAUGAUCUUUGCUAUGUAAUUGACAGGCGAUCUUUGAAUAUUAUUUGAGACAUGGAAACACAAAGUGGGAUGGAUUGGGUACUAUUUUCACAAUGUGUUAAGAGUUCAAACUUAGUAUUUUACUUUACUUUGUCAAAAGAGAUCAAAAUAAAAUAAAAAAAAAGGAGGGAAGAGCAGAGUUCAAAUUACAGUGCAUAAAAUUGAAAUAAUAACUCAAGCUAUUAUUUCUUAUGACACAGGAAAGAAAAGGUGAAAGUUGAAUUCCGUACUUGGGAUCUCAGAAUAGAUGCAAAGAUGACCACACAGCCCCAAAUGAGAAAAUUAAUUACUUCCACCUUUGAGAUUUCUUCCCAAUUUACUCCUUUUCACAAACUCUCUGAAAUCAGUGUUUAUAGCACAAAAUGUAUACAAAACUUGUAGAAUCAACAAGAGAUCAGAGACAACUCUGUGUCCCUACUCCCUCUACAGUUUUUCCCCAUGAAAUGCUGAUUUUUUCUGUUGACCACAUGGACCUAUCAAAGUGCCAGAUUAUUCUGGGAUGUAUAUCCAUGUGGGAAAGCUUAGGAGCAAAGCUUUUCAUCCCAGACUGUCUAUUCUUGAUUGACAGAUCUUUGUCAAUAACAAGUGCCUUCUAAUGAAUGUGUGCAAAUAAAUGUUAUAGUUCCUUGGCUUUUUAAACAUGUAGGUGGUGGCCACAUGGGUCAUUACAUUAUUAGAAAUCUAUUGUUAUUGUUGUUGUUGUUGCUGUUGUUAUUGUUGUUAUUAUUAUUAUGGCUAUUAUUAUUAUUAUUAUACUACAGAGACUACUGUAAUGAAACUACCAAUUGAUUUGCAUCUCAGUAAAUUAGCUCUGGUUGAAUAACUUACCAUGAUUCACACAUCAAAAUCUUCACUUGUGUGUCCUUAAUUUUUGUCUGCUUUUGCUUUUCAGAUGUUUGUGUAGUUUCUAUCAUUAUAAUGUCUGACCAACAGAAAAAAAAACCAUUGAUGUAAAUUACUGUCUUAAUAUGACCUUUCAUGUAGUAAAUAUAAUUUAUGUUCCAUUUAGGGGUGUUUGACAGUGCUGUAAAAAGGACAAAGGAGACACAGUACAAGACCAAAUUAAGAUGUAGUUAAUUAGUCUGUGUGAUAGUUCUUUCCAACAGGGAAAAGAAGGUUAAGAAAUAAAGUCAUUGUCU